rnacentral:misc_RNA from 1 species
UGAGCCCACGGGGUGGGAUGU